UAUCUCUGUAGAGUCUGCAUAUCAAUAAGCGGAGGAAAAGAAACUAACUAGGAUUCCCUUAGUAACGGCGAGUGAAGCGGGAAGAGCUCAAAUUUGAAAUCUUCAAGGUUUUACCUUGACGAAUUGUAGUUUAAAGAAGUGUUUUCUGUUGGUGUUUUGGUAAAAGUUCUUUGGAAUAGGACAUCAUAGAGGGUGAGAAUCCCGUAUUUGACCAUUAUUCCAGCGUUGUGAUACACUUUCAAAGAGUCGGAUUGUUUGGGAAUGCAGUCCAAAAUGGGUGGUAAAUUUCAUCUAAAGCUAAAUAUUGGCGAGAGAGGCCGAUAGCGAACAAGUACCGUGAGGGAAAGAUGAAAAGAACUUUGAAAAGAGAGUUAAACAGUACGUGAAAUUGUCAAAAGGGAAGCGUUUGACACCAGUGUUGUUUUCUCGAAAAUCAAUUAAAAAAGGCAGGAUUUUGUGUUGUAUUGACUUUAUCAGCUUUCUGCACUCUUUUCUUGUCUUUUUUAAUGCACUUUUCGUUUAACAAGUCAACAUCAAUUUCUUUUGUUGUAAAAGGGUCAUUGGAAGGUGGCUUUCUUUUCGGAGAAAGUGUUUAUAGCCUUUGGCCUCUGCAAUCGGAGAGAUUGAGGUCUGCAGCGUAGAUCCUUCGGGGUUAGAUACAUUUGUGCUAAGUUAUAGCCUUUCAUAGACAACUUGUUGACUAUGAUCAGUCAUGUAGCUUACUCGCUUAUGCUAUUUUACCUACGCUUAGGAUGUUGAUAGUCACAGCGUGUAC
rnacentral:rRNA from 1 species